rnacentral:rRNA from 1 species
CUGACGACCGGCGCACGGGUGCGUAACGCGUAUAGAACCUACCUUUUACAGGGGAAUAGCCUUUAGAAAUGAAGAUUAAUACCUCAUAGCAUUGAGAUUUGGCAUCAAAUUUUAAUUAAAGAUUUAUCGGUAAAAGAUGGCUAUGCGUCCUAUUAGCUAGAUGGUAAGGUAACGGCUUACCAUGGCGACGAUAGGUAGGGGUCCUGAGAGGAUGAUCCCCCACACUGGUACUGAGACACGGACCAGACUCC